rnacentral:rRNA from 1 species
GAUGAACGCUAGCUGUAGGCUUAACACAUGCAAGUCGAGGGACCGGCGCACGGGUGAGUCACGCGUAUCCAACCUGCCCCUAACUAAGGGAUAACCCAGCGAAAGUUGGACUAAUCCCUUAUGGUUAUGGAUUGUGAUGCGUCUGAUUAGCUUGUUGGAGGGGUAACGGCCCACCAAGUCAACGCUCAGUAGGGGUUCUGAGAGGAAGGGCACCCAGAUUGAAACUGAGACCCGGGCCAAACGCCUACGGGAGGCAGAAGGGAGGAAUAGUGGGCAAAGGACGUAAGGCUGAACCAGCAAAGUAGCGUGCAGGAUGACGGCCUAUGGGGUUUAAACUGCUUUUAUAAGGGGAUAGGUACCAGAUGAAUAAGGACCGGCUAAUUACGUGCCAGCAGCCGCGGUAAUAC